GGCCAUGACUGCAUAAAUAAGGAAAUAAAAAUCAAAGCCCCAAGGCCCUCAGGCACCAUUAAUACAAGUCUGAAGCUUCUCUAUCACAGGCUUUUAGAGAGAGAUGACAGGGACUGGGUUUCUAUCUCCUGUUGGAAAACGUGGGGCCUGCAUUGCCAAACUGCUGAAGGAGAGAAGGCUCAAAGGACUAGAGGACAGAAUGAGGGAUGACAGAGCAGCUGAGCCAUUAGUAUGAAGAACAAACAAGCAUUUAGAGCCAAAUAUGUUUUUACCCAUUCUCCAACUUCCAGGCUGCCACGGAAGCUCUGGGAAUUCCGACCCUUCUAUUUCAGGUCCCAAAGACCUCACUUCCAGCAUGUGGGGUUUCCCUCCCUAACCUCUGCUACAUGGCAACCACCAAGACUAGCUGAAAACCAAGGGUGAGUCCUUUAUUAGCUUUUCCCCUGGGCCUCAUCUGCCCCAGCUACCAGCCAGAACACAAAAGCUACCUGUCUAAUUAGAGUAUACUUAGCUAAUAGGGAACCCCCUCUCACAGAGGAGUUCCAUAGGGACCAUCAGGUCUCUCUUACCCCUCAGCUGCCCUAAGACAGGGAAUUUCUCUGGAAGGCUCAAGGCCACCAGCCAGCAGAAUUAAGUGUUAUACCAGUGCCUACCCAAGCCUGACAACAUCAUGCUCCCAGAACACCAAUAACAACACUCAUCACCCCAGGGGCCCACAGAAGGUGCCUAGAGACUGAAAUAGGAGCUCUCAUGGCUUAAGGAGGCAAUGCGAAUUUCAUCUGCAACACUGAGAACAAAGGCAGUUCCUGCAGAAACGUCACAGCUACCUGGGAGCCUAAGUCUGAAGCAAUUAGGCAGGGCUCCCAGUGAAGGCUCUGAUUUUUCAGGUCAGGCCCUAGGGUCUCCUGGGUCCAAAGGUGAGGCUCCCCCGCCCACAGAACCUGGCCCAUCCCUGCAGGGAGAACUAUUUUUAGAACACUUGGAGAGUUUUCAGAGCUUUGACAGGUUGAAGAUUGUUCAUGGGGGGAGCUUCUGGGAGAAGCUGUCUCUGACUCUGAGGACGGUGGGCUCCCAGAGAGCCAGGCUUAUGUUCUUUUUGCACCUCCAACAGAGUACAUUGAGCUGGCGGCUGUGAUGCUGAAGGCAGCUUUCCCCAUCGCUUGCUCUCUGCGCCGGGGCAUGUCAGCUCUAGAGGAAUUCAUCUGGGGCAGGCCCAAUACAGCCCGCUGAAUUAGCCUCCACGAUCCCCGGGCCUCCCCGGCGCCAGGGGGCGCUGUAAACAUUCCGUCCUGGCCCCCGCUGCCGCCGUCGCCCGCCCCAUCCGCGCGAUGGGCUCCGAGGCCGCCCAGCUGCUGGAGGCUGCCGACUUCGCUGCUCGCAAGCACCGGCAGCAGCGGCGGAAGGACCCCGAAGGGACCCCCUACAUCAACCACCCCAUCGGUGGGCUCGUCGGCCGCGGAGCACCGGCUGCGGCACCGGGGGUGGGGACUGGGAAGGAUACGUGGGGUGCGUGCACCUCAUUGAGCACCUAUUUUGUCCCAAGCUUAGUGCGAUAUACCGUUUAAGCCUCGUAACAACUGGAGCGGUAGGCAUGAUCGUUCCCUUUGUCGGUUGACACCCAGAGGGUGAGGGACUUGACCAAGGUCACCCAGCUAGUGAGAGGCCAGGAGGGGCCACAUCUGACUCUCCAAAACCCACAACACACCGCCUUGGAGCUAUCUCCGACCUGACUUCCUGCUUUGCCCCUCCCCAUCAGGUGUGGCUCGGAUCCUGACCCACGAGGCGGGAAUCACUGACAUUGUGGUGUUACAGGCGGCCCUGCUCCAUGACACGGUGGAGGACACAGACACCACCCUGGAUGAGGUGGAGCUACACUUUGGGACACAGGUGCGGCGCCUGGUGGAGGAGGUAACAGAUGACAAGACCCUGCCCAAGCUGGAGAGAAAGCGGCUGCAGGUGGAGCAAGCGCCCCACAGUAGCCCCGGGGCCAAACUGGUGAAACUGGCAGACAAGCUGUACAAUCUGAGGGACCUGAAUCGCUGCACCCCAGAGGGAUGGUCAGAACAUCGAGUCCAGGAAUACUUCGAGUGGGCAGCGCAAGUAGUGAAGGGGCUUCAGGGAACAAACCGGCAACUGGAAGAGGCGCUAAAGCAUCUGUUCAAGGAGCGGGGGCUGACACUCUGAUCAGUGCUUGAAGCUGUCCAGAGGCACAACUCCAGCCUCAUUCAGGCCGGACAGGAUUCAUACACCAUCUUUUCUGUGCCUCCCGAACUCCCUCCAUCCUUCCCAGAUACUACAGGCCAAAAAAAGACUUGCAUUUUUUCUUAAUCUGAAGAUCUCCUACUAACUAAGCUGAGCCCCGCGUGUGGGAAUCAGAUGUACCCAUCCAUUUGUGAUGCACUCACUGCCUCUCCCCAAGUCUUGGGUCUGUUUGCUAUUUUGCAUGAUGGGAUCUCUGGCCCCUCAAGGACUUGAGAUUAUAUAAGUACUAGUUCCUAAGACGUUAUGGAAAAUAAAAACUCUGGGUUAAGGUUUAA